CACGCUGUCUGCUGCAGCUGGAGACUGUCGGGAGCUCCUCUGGUGUCGACGCAUCCCGGCCGGCAGAGUGCUGCCUGCUGCUCUGCAGCGCUGCCUGUGCCGAAUCGGCUCCGAGGGGGAAUUCCUCUGUGCCGCCGAUGUUCUCAUUCUCCCCUUCUUUGACUUCUUAAGAAUGCAGCCAAAUGAACCAAAAGUAGUGCGAACAGCAAGUUAUCUUGUUCUUUGCUGGGCUGAUCAUGGAGAAAGAGAGAGAGAGAAUUUGCUGCUGUCUCCUCUGCACCGCUGAGCUCAUGCCUGGGACAGCUGCACAUCGUGGGCCCAGGAGGGCACUGAGUGUUUCAGUCCUCCACAGCUCUGAAGCCACGCUCAAACCAUGCAGUAGCAGGGAGAGGAGAUCCCAGAGUGGGGGUCCCGCGGCCAUCUGCCCUACCUGCUCUUCCCACCAGCAGCACAGCCUCAAUCCAGCCCCUCGGAAAGGAAGAAAAACACACUUUUUGCCCUCAGAAACUAGGAAAAGCCAAAGAAAUCUCUCUUUAGGACAAGGCCGAUGCUGUAUCCUGUCUUGUUUUUACUAAGUCAGAUCUUUUUUUCCACUGGAUCUUACUCUCGUGUGUGUUUUGUUGCUGUGUCCUUCUGUUGUUUUCAGCUUUCUGCCGCAAGAUGUGGAACUGUCAGAUUCCCAAUCAGAUCAACACCUUUAGGAUUUGUUUGACUUCCAAUACGCCUUCCUGAAGUUAUUGCUGACUAACGCUGUGAAAUCAUCAGUUUUUUAUUUUGAAUGUCUAAAACACCGUAAGAUUUCUUGAGGCUACUUCUCACAAAGAGAUUGCAGUUGGUGUCCUUUGCUCAUUAUUACAGGAUGUGAGUCAUUUUGAAGAAAGAGAGGGGGGGAGGACAAACAAAAACCCUAUUUUUCUCAAAGCUCUGAAAAUAUAUUUUGUCCCUGAUCUGAGCUGUAGUUUGAUGUGAAUAUGAGAGAAGCCAGGGCUGGCUGGGAGCUCUGCUGGCCCUGAGAUGCACAGAGCACGUGUCCUGCAGCAGCUGGCUGUGGGGUGAUGGCCCUCCUUACUCAGAGGAUGGGUACAUCCCUGGGCUGUAAUGUGAUAUAUCUUGAGCAGCUGAACACUUUGGAGCUUGUGAAGAACAAUACAGAGGGGCUGGAUUUUGUUGCGUUUUGAGCUCUUCCUGGAGAAAACAAAUGGAGUACUGUGGGUAUUUUUUUUUUAUUUGUGUAAUCUUGAGGCAGAGUAUCACAUAUUGCAGAGGAUGAUUGAAGCAGACAACGUUUGUGCUGGUUCCCAGUAUGGAAAAUGUGAACAAGACAAUUCUGCAUCACCUUUCCUUUCUGGGACCUGGUGUAGGGACACUCUUUGGGAGGAGUGCUGUGAAUCAACCUCAUCUGUCAUCUCCAGGAGAGCGUCUGUAGGGUGAGGCGUGUUUCACAUGAGUGUGCUCCUCCUCCUACUGCCGUACAACGUACACACAGCCUUCCUUACUGCUGGCUGCUGGAGCACAUCAUGUACUUCGGUCUCUUUGCUUGGAGUGUUUUUGGCAAUAACUGGAGCUAAGUUACCCUGCUGCCGGCUGCCUGCAGUUCCACCACCCUGUUCAUUUGUAUCCUCCCUUUAAUGAACAAGAGAAUACUUACGAAAAUACAGUUGAUGAGUUUCUUAAUCACCUGUCUGUAAAUCACUUUCCUUCUCUGAUUUGUAAUUUCUCUAUGCUUUUUUCCAUCUUUCAUGUAGUGACCCUGGUUCUCCUCCUGUUUUUCAGCAGCAUGACUCUACUGCACACAAAGAGAUGAUGGAGGGGUUGGGCUGGUAUAAGUAAGGAAGACCCAGUCCACAGAGAAUUAUAUGCUGACUUUGAAGAUGGCCUUCCUGGCAGUUGGUACUGUAUGAUUACUUCUGUUGAAAGCCGGGCCUCUACUUGGAUGUGCAGUGGAAGGAAGCAGC
ensembl:lncRNA